GAGCUGGAUUUGGCAGCACAUAUACUAAAACUGGAACAAUACAGAGAUGAUUAGCAUGGCCCCUGAGCAGGGGUGAUAUGCAAAUUCUUAAAGAAUUCUAUGUUCGC
ensembl:snRNA U6 U6 spliceosomal RNA